CUCCAACCACAGCCGCCGACCUCCGCUCCUCUGCGGCCGUUGCCACCAGCGGAGUCGCCGGCGCCGUGAACAGGCCGACCACCACCGCGUUCAAGCCGAGCCUGUUUUCUCCGUCUCGUCGUUCUCCAGGUCUCGAAUCUGGCCGUCCCAUGGACGAAAUCGUCUGCGCUGGUCCAUCCAUGGUCGACCGCGUUCAGGCAUCCAUGGCCGUCGGGAUAUGUGAGCUCCGUCCAUGGCCCGACGGCCAUGGACGCCUAGUUCCUCCGCUUUUCUUCUUGAUAUGUGAGCUCUGUCCACGGCCGUCGGGAUCUCGACCUUGCCCAUCACGGCCAUGGACGAGCAGUCAUGGCCAAAUCUGAAGGCGGCUUCAGAUCCCAUCCACUAUUGAAGAAAGCACGACUUCAGUUCAAAUCUGAAGCAGAGGGAGCGGAAGCCAUGCUUUCUUUCUGAGCAUGACCCAAUCAGUCCAGAUCUGAAGCCCUGCUGACGACCGAGCGCCGUUCAUGGCCGUCUGGACCUCGAGCUUGCCGUCAAGGCUCACGGCCAUGGACAAGCCUUGCAAGCCAUGGACGAGCUAGGCUUGCGGAUCUGGAUGGAGGCACGACUCCAGUCCAGAUCUGAACGAGCAAAGGACUGAGCCGACCGCGAGCAUGACGAAGGGGUGGCUUGGGUCGACUGCACGUGACGCCGAAAGCAGUGGCGAUGCUGGCCGAACGGGGCGGUGCUCUAUGACGGAGGAGGAAGCGCCGGCGGCCAUGGAGGACAACCAGUUCGGCAGAGAAAGGAGGAAGAAGAAAAUAAUAAUUUUUUUUUAUUCCACCUCAGCUUACACUUUUCGAUUUAUUAUUGCGCAUAAGUAAAAAAAAGCAUGCCACGUCAAUUGCUGACGUGGCGGUUGGCAACUGAUGGAGCACAGGAGAAACUGUCAGAGGAGCGUUUUGACUCGGUUUGCAUACUUCACUGUCUAUCCUCUGUUUCACGGAAAUUCACCUUCAUCCUCUCCGCGUUCUUGGUAUUUCCUUCAUAUAGAGAGCGAUCCAGAGCCCAAAUGGGACUUGUUGGUGAUUGCAGCUCUGAGCAGGAUCGGCCGCAAAUGGGACUGAUUGCAGCCGUUGUAAUCAAUAUCAUCUUGGCCUCGAUGCUGUGCGUUCCGGUCCUGGGACAACUGACGAGAGUGAAGAAAAGCCGGAGGAGCUCAGAGGCAACGCUGAGCGUGGAAGAUGUACUGCCAGGAUACGAGUACGAGGUUUUCUUGAGUUUCAGGGGAUUAGACACACGCAACAACUUCACUGAUUGCCUUUACCGUAGAUUGAGACUCGCUGGAGUCCAUGUCUUCCGAGACAACGAAGAACUCCGAGUCGGAAAAGAAAUCGGUGGUGAGCUUUUGAAAGCGCUCAACAAUUCUCGGAUCUACAUACCCAUCUUCUCCCAGAACUAUGCUACCAGUUCGUGGUGUCUCCGUGAGGUUGCGCACAUGGUCGAAUGCACCUCAAAAUCAAAUGGGAAGAAAGAGAUACUCCCCAUCUUCUAUGACGUGUCCCUUGAUGAUGUUAAGCUCAAAACCAAGUUAUACCAAAAAGCCAUACUGAGGCAGAAGAAAAAAUUCGGCUCCGAUGCAUUGAAAUGGUGGGAGGAGGCUCUUGUAGAGGUUGCACAUUUAAAGGGGUGGAAUCUUAAAGGGAAAGGCCAUGGAGAACUAAUUGAAUUGGUUGUUGGAGAGGUAUUGUGCAAGCUUAAUGCCAGAAAUGUGGAUGUGCCUGAAUAUUGGGUUGAAGAUCAUCGUCAAAUAGAAGACAUACUAGAAAAGUUGGAAGUUGACUCUGACGAUGUACGUUUUCUUGGUAUUCAUGGAAUAGGUGGCAUUGGUAAAACAGUACUUGCAAAGGUUGUGUUCAACAAAAUAUCUUCUCACUUUGAAGGUGUUUGUUUCCUCAACGACGUUCGAGAAUCAUCGCGACAUGGUCUUAUAAACGUGCAGAAAAAGUUAUUAGCAAGUUUUGUGGGUCUUGUGAUUGAUGAUCUUAUCAAAGACAUUGGAGAUGGGAUGAAAUGGAUCAAGACAGUAUGUCAUACUAAAAAAGUCCUCAUUGUUCUAGAUGAUUUAGAUAAGCAAGAGCAACUCAAAAAGCUAGCUGGAAAAUCAGAUUGGUUUGGUUUAGGCAAUAGGAUCAUCUUCACCACUAGGAACUUAGAGGUGUUGAUGACUCAAGUGGAACCAUCCGGUGAAGAGGUCCUAAAUCAACCCAAAGGAAUUUUGGCUUAUGAAGCUCAUGCAAUGGAAUACGGUCGAGCACUUCAAUUGUUUUGUAAGCACGCAUUCAGGAGAGACUCUCCCUAGAAGGAUAUGAUAAUCUUACAGAGAAAAUUGUUUGUAGAGUGGGUAUGCUUCCUUUGGCAGUUGAGGUCAUAGGUUCAUUUCUUUAUGGCCAAAGCUUUGCCUUAGGGCAACAUUUUGAUAAACGAAAGCUAUGGGAAGGUAUGUUGAAGCAGUUAGAUGAUGGUCCUUUUAAGGAUGUUCGAGAUGCAUUAAUGAUAAGUUAUGAAGGAUUAGAGAAUAAGCAAAAAGAAGUGUUUCUUGAUAUUGCUUGUCUUUUCACCAACAAGGACCAAACAUAUCCAGUUAUCAUGUGGGAUGACUAUAAUUACCAUCCUCACCUUGCAAUUGGAGUCCUUUGCCAACGGUCCUUAAUAAAAAUUGGACAUGACAAUAAGUUUUGGAUGCAUGACCAAGUUCGAGAUCUGGGAAGGCACAUCAUGCAUGAAGAAUAUCCUCGCAAAUUUAGUAGGGUGUGGAUUUAUAACGAUGCUAUAGAACUACUGGAGAGAAAAGAGACAAAUCAAGAUGUAGAAGUACUAAGCUUGACUUCCGAUGGCUGCAGCCGGGAUAUUGUACCAGAAGAAUUAGCUGCUCUACCAAAUCUAAGGUUCCUUCAAGUUAAAGGCAUCAAAUUUAUUGGCAACUUCGAGAAUCUUGUUUUGAAGAAGCUAUGUUGGCUUUCUUGGGAAGUGAUGCAUAAUAAAUUUUGUGCAGAGAAUAUUCAUUUUGUUAGCUUAGUUGUGCUAGACCUUUCAAGGAGCAAUAUCAAAGAUGAUUGGGAUGGAUGGCGCCAAUUCCAGGUAUGCCUUUUUCUAUUCAUCGUACUGAGAGACCAAGAAGAGCAUUGUAUGGAUAGAGAAUCCACGUCUUCUUUUUAUAUUCACCGAUCAUUCAUGUAUUGUAUAUAUUGGUGUCACGCUUUCCUGAUCCCACAUGAAUUUAUGGACAGAAAUUAUUUCGCGAGAGUAACAUCUAGCAUUGACAACAACCGCCUAAAUGCAUUUAAGAAAAGAGAGAGGAAGCUAUAGAAUCACAUCAUUUUGAUAAAAAUUGCAUGCCUUAUUGUAUGACUUCCAAAUUAUCUUGACUGAGUAAAUCCAUUUGUUGAUAGAUUUCUACUUGAAUGUUCCCAUUUCGAACUUCUAUUUCUUCUGCUUUCUCUUUUUCCACUCUUUUUCUACAUACAUUUCAGCGAUCGUACUCAUGAUCUGAUUCAAUCUUUUACUAUUUCUUCUUCAUCAAAUUGUGCUAUGUGCAAUUACUGCAAGAUUUUGCUGAAUUAUUAAAA